rnacentral:rRNA from 1 species
GACGAACGCUGGCGGCGUGCCUAAUACAUGCAAGUAGAACGCUGAAGGAGGAGCUUGCUUCUCUGGAUGAGUUGCGAACGGGUGAGUAACGCGUAGGUAACCUGCCUGGUAGCGGGGGAUAACUAUUGGAAACGAUAGCUAAUACCGCAUAAUAGUAGAUGUUGCAUGACAUUUGCUUAAAAGUUGCAAUUGCAUCACUACCAGAUGGACCUGCGUUGUAUUAGCUAGUUGGUGAGGUAACGGCUCACCAAGGCGACGAUACAUAGCCGAGCCGAGAGGGUGAUCGGCCAAAACGGGACCGGGAACACGCCCAGGAUUCUACGGGAGGCAGCAGGAGGGAAUUUUCGGAAACGGACGGAAGGCUGGCCGAGGAACGCCGGGGGGGGGGAGAAGGGUCUCCGAUUGGAAAGCUCUGUUGUAAGAGAAGGAAGAGUGUGAGAGUAGAAAGUUCACACUGUGACGGUAUCUUAACAGAAAGCGACGGCUAACUACGUG